CCAAUCCAGAAUAGGAAAUCCAAGCAUUGCCUGGAGCUGCAGGAAAACAGUGAAAAUGAAUUUGGAUUUCAACUGGUUCUUCAAAAAUGCACUGGCCAGUGCUGGUCUAUAACAAAUGUACUGAAAAACUUGUCAUGUUUGAGCUCCCCUAAUGGAGGCUGCAUAAGCAACAUGGACAGGAUAAAUGGCAAGGCUUCCUCUCCAAGAUCACACUUCACAGUUCCUCUAGAGAAGAAAAGGAACAACUCAACAUCAGAAGAAAACCUACUCCCAAGUUCUCCUGGUCACCCUUGUCCUGGGGGCUUUUUAUCAUUGUGCUACAGCACUUCCUCCUCAUUUUCCUAAGGAAUGUUGCUUUGCCUACACAACUAAACCUAUUCAUCAGUCCAAACUGGUGGCUUACUACAAGACCUUCAGUGACUGUGCCUUACAGUCUGUCACGUUAAGAUUAAGGGUGGCAAAAAUACCUGUGCUGACCCUUCCAAGAUUUGGGUGAAGAAUGGCAUCAACCACUUGAACAAGAGAAAAUGAAACACAGACCACCUCUGAAGACCACACAACCACUCUGUACACUAUAGCCUCCCCUUGACGGGGCUUUUGUGCAGCAACAUAUUUAUAGCUCGCUGAAAUAGUUUUAUAGCAGAACAGACAAUCAAUUCAGUGAGGAGAGACAGAGACCUGCCUGCCGAGGCCAGGAAACCCUACAUAGGAUGCUCCUAAAAGCAUAUUUUCAA